AUAAUUUAAACAUUCACGUUACGGCGGCGGCCGUCCGACGAAAUUCGGGAUCUACUUGUCGCGGCGUGGCAGGUUCCCGGUUUGAAUGUCGGGUGCGGCUUGUUUACAACGUAUAUUCCAACGAGACGCGCUCCGAUUGGUCGACGGGCACCUGCAAUGCGUCAACUGCCGGAUGAGGCAGCUUUUUCGCACGCGGUUUACUCGCGCCGCGAUGCGUCGCCUCUUGGACGCCUAUUGCUUAUGUGCGGGUGCGGCAGUCUCUGCGACACCUAGAAAACUGUCGAACCCGCCGUUAAUAACCUACUGCAUUAUUCAGGAACGUCUUUUACUAUUGUGUGUUGUAGCAAGCGUGGUUUACGCCGCCCCGGAACGGUGGUUGCCUUCGCGGCCCUCCGCUCCUCCAGCUCUGGGUCUUUCGGCAUGUCCCAAAACGUAUCGAUCUCUAUUGCUUUCGUACCAACAUUAUUUACUAUGUUUUUAAUAAAUGACAAACUGACA